AUUGAACGCUGGCGGCGUGCUUAACACAUGCAAGUCGAUCGGUAACGCGGGGGCAACCCUGGCGACGAGAGGCGGACGGGUGAGGAACGCGUGGGAAUCUGCCCUUCAGCGGGGGACAACCCGGGGAAACUCGGGCUAAUACCGCAUACGCUCCACGGAGUAAAGCCGGGGACCGCAAGGCAUGGCACUGAAGGAUGCGCCCAAGCCGGGUUAGCUAGUUGGCGGGGUAACGGCCCACCAAGGCGACGAUCCGUAGCUGGUCUGAGAGGACGAUCAGCCACACCGGAAAUGAGACACGGUCCGGACUCCUACGGGAGGCAGCAGUGGGGAAUAUUGGACAAUGGGGGAAACCCUGAUCCAGCGACGCCGCGUGGGUGAAGAAGGCCUGCGGGUUGUAAAGCCCUUUCGGUAGGGACGAAAGCUCUUGCCUUAACACGGCAGGAGGUUGACUUAACCUACAUAAGAAGCACCGGCUAACUCUGUGCCAGCCGCCGCCGUAAAAC
rnacentral:rRNA from 1 species